CCUACGGUGGGCUGCAGUGGGGAAUAUUGGACAAUGGGCGAAAGCCUGAUCCAGCCAUGCCGCGUGUGUGAAGAAGGCCUUCGGGUUGUAAAGCACUUUCAGUGGGGAAGAAAGCCUUGGGGCUAAUACCCUCGAGGAAGGACAUCACCCACAGAAGAAGCACCGGCUAACUCCGUGCCAGCAGCCGCGGUAAUACGGAGGGUGCGAGCGUUAAUCGGAAUUACUGGGCGUAAAGCGCGCGUAGGCGGUCUGAUAAGCCGGUUGUGAAAGCCCCGGGCUCAACCUGGGAACGGCAUCCGGAACUGUCAGGCUAGAGUGCAGGAGAGGAAGGUAGAAUUCCCGGUGUAGCGGUGAAAUGCGUAGAGAUCGGGAGGAAUACCAGUGGCGAAGGCGGCCUUCUGGACUGACACUGACGCUGAGGUGCGAAAGCGUGGGUAGCAAACAGGAUUAGAUACCGGGUAGUC
rnacentral:rRNA from 1 species